rnacentral:rRNA from 1 species
AUUGAACGCUGGCGGCAGGCCUAACACAUGCAAGUAGAACGAGUGGCGGACGGGUGAGUAAUGUCUGGGAAACUGCCUGAUGGAGGGGGAUAACUACUGGAAACGGUAGCUAAUACCGCAUACCAUCGGAUGUGCCCAGAUGGGAUUAGCUAGUAGGGGGGGUAAAGGCUCACCUAGGCGACGAUCCCUAGCUGGUCUGAGAGGAUGACCAUCAACACUGUAACUUGUACACGGUCCAGACACUUACGUGAGGCAGUAGUGGGGAAUAUUGCACGAAGGGCGCAUGCCUGAUGCAGCCAUGCCGCGUGUAUGAAGAAGGCCUUCGGGUUGUAAAGUACUUGCAGCGGGGAGGCGUUACCCGCAGAAGAAGCACCGGCUAACUCCGUGCCAGCGGCCGCGGUAAUUC